rnacentral:rRNA from 1 species
GUUUGCUUGGAAGCAGCAAUUCAUUUAAAGAGUGCGUAACAGCUCACUGGUCGAGCGACAGAGCAUCGAUAAUAAACGGGCAUCAAGAAUAGUACCGAAGCUUUAGAUUUAUACUUUAGAAGUAUAAGUGGUAGGGGAGCAUUCUAAGGUCGGUGAAGGCGGGACGCGAGUCCUGCUGGAGAGCUUAGAAAAGCAAAUGUAGGAAUAAGUAACGAUAAAGCAGGUGAGAAUCCUGCUCACCGAUAGACUAAGGUUUCCUGAUCAACGUUCGUCGGAUCAGGGUUAGUCGGGACCUAAGGCGAACCCAUCGUAGUGGUGGGGCAGUCGAUGGACAACUGGUUAAUAUUCCAGUACUAAUGUAUACUGCUAUGGAGAGACGGAGUAGUGACAAGUUCGCGUGGUGACGGAAUACCACGUUAAAGCCAGUAGAUAUAUUUUGAGUAGGCAAAUCCGCUCGAAAUGUCGAAGGUGAUAGUACAACAAAGCUUCGGCCGCGUUGAUAGUAACUGUAAUCAGACUUCCAAGAAAAUCUUCUAUGCUUCAGGUAUACAUGACCCGUACCGCAAACCGACACAGGUAGUCAAGGAGAGAAUCCUGAGGUGCGCGAGUGAUUCACGGCUAAGGAACUCGGCAAAUUAACCCUGUAACUUCGGGAGAAGGGGUGCUUCCUCUAGCGAUAGAGAAGCCGCAGUGAAAAGUCUCAGGCGACUGUUUAACAAAAACACAUGGCUCUGCGAAAUCGAAAGAUAAAGUAUAGGGCCUGACACCUGCCCGGUGCCGGAAGGUUAAGAGGGGGGCUUAGCAGCAAUGCGACGGUCUGAAUCGAAGCCCCGGUAAACGGCGGCCGUAACUAUAACGGUCCUAAGGUAGCGAAAUUCCUUGUCGGGUAAGUUCCGACCUGCACGAAUGGUGUAACGAUCUGAGAACUGUCUCAGCCGUGAGCUCGGUGAAAUUGUAGUAGCGGUGAAGAUGCCGCUUACCCGUCACGGGACGGAAAGACCCCGUGCACCUUUACUAUAGCUUUGCAUUGAUUUUGGGUAAAUGAUGUGUAGGAUAGGUGGGAGGCUUUGAAGCGGGUACGCUAGUAUUCGUGGAGCCAACGUUGAAAUACCACCCUUUAUUUACUUGGAGUCUAACCCCUGAAUAGGGAAACAGUGCAUGGUGGGUAGUUUGACUGGGGUGGUCGCCUCCAAAAAAGUAACGGAGGCUUCUAAAGGUUCCCUCAGUACGCUUGGUAACCGUACGUAGAGUGCAAUGGCAUAAGGGAGCUUGACUGUGAGACAAACAAGUCGAUCAGGUACGAAAGUAGAGCAUAGUGAUCCGGUGGUUCCGCAUGGAAGGGCCAUCGCUCAAAGGAUAAAAGGUACGCCGGGGAUAACAGGCUGAUCUCCCCCAAGAGCUCACAUCGACGGGGAGGUUUGGCACCUCGAUGUCGGCUCGUCACAUCCUGGGGCUGGAGAAGGUCCCAAGGGUUCGGCUGUUCGCCGAUUAAAGUGGCACGCGAGCUGGGUUCAGAACGUCGUGAGACAGUUCGGUCCCUAUCUGUGAUGGGCGCAGGAAAUUUGAGUGGACCUGAUUUUAGUACGAGAGGACCGAAUUGGACCAACCUCUGGUGUAUCUGUUGUGCCGCCAGGUGCAGUGCAGAGUAGCCACGUUGGGACGAGAUAAGCGCUGAAAGCAUCUAAGCGCGAAACUCACCACAAGAUGAGAUUUCCAUACAGGGACGUCAGAGACUAUGACGUUGAUAGGCUGCAAGUGUAAAGUCAGAAAUGGCAUAGCUGAGCAGUACUAAUAACCCGACAAUUUUCUUAA